UACGGAGGGGGCUAGCGUUGUUCGGAAUUACUGGGCGUAAAGCGCACGUAGGCGGCUUUGCAAGUUAGAGGUGAAAGCCCGGGGCUCAACUCCGGAAUUGCCUUUAAGACUGCAUCGCUAGAAUUGUGGAGAGGUAAGUGGAAUUCCGAGUGUAGAGGUGAAAUUCGUAGAUAUUCGGAAGAACACCAGUGGCGAAGGCGGCUCACUGGCCCGGUACUGACGCUGAGGUGCGAAAGCGUGGGGAGCAAACAGG
rnacentral:rRNA from 1 species